rnacentral:rRNA from 1 species
CAGUCGCCGCGGGAAUACGUAGGGUGCAAGCGUUAAUCGGAAUUACUGGGCGUAAAGCGUGCGCAGGCGGUUCGCUAAGACAGAUGUGAAAUCCCCGGGCUUAACCUGGGAACUGCAUUUGUGACUGGCGGGCUAGAGUAUGGCAGAGGGGGGUAGAAUUCCACGUGUAGCAGUGAAAUGCGUAGAGAUGUGGAGGAAUACCGAUGGCGAAGGCAGCCCCCUGGGCCAAUACUGACGCUCAUGCACGAAAGCGUGGGGAGCAAACAGGAUUAGAUACCCCUGUAGUCCCUGUCUCUUAUAC